rnacentral:rRNA from 1 species
GUGAGGAAUUUUCCGCAAUGGGCGAAAGCCUGACGGAGCAAUGCCGCGUGAAGGAUGAAGGCCUAUGGGUUGUAAACUUCUUUUCUCAGAAAAGAAUUAUGACGGUAUCUGAGGAAUAAGCAUCGGCUAACUCUGUGCCAGCAGCCGCGGUAAGACAGAGGAUGCAAGCGUUAUCCGGAAUGAUUGGGCGUAAAGCGUCUGUAGGUUGUUUAAAAAGUAUUCUGUCAAAGAUUAGGGCUUAACCCUAGAUAGGCAGAAUAAACUUUUAAGCUAGAGUUUGGUAGAGGCAGAGGGAAUUCCCGGUGGAGCGGUGAAAUGCGUAGAUAUCGGGAGGAACACCAAAGGCGAAGGCACUCUGCUGGGCCAAUACUAACACUGAGAGACGAAAGCGAGGGGAGCGAAUGGGAUUAGAUACCCUGGUAGUCC